rnacentral:rRNA from 1 species
CUCCAAUAGCGUACGUUAAAGUUGCUGCAGUUAAAAAGCUCGUAGUUGAACGUUCGGGUUCCGCGGGACGGGGCCGCCCGCGAGGGACGGCGCCGCCCCGGGGCUCGUGAUAUCUCAUCUCGCCGCCGUCGCGAGGCGGACGGAGGGAUGGAUGAGGUUACCUGGAAAAAAUCGGGGCGAUCUAGGCGGGCGAACCUCGCCAACGAACGAUCGGACAGUGGGAUAACGGAAGAGGGGCGUCGGCUCGACUUCGUCGGUUCCUCGGGCCGAGGCACGUACGGUGAAUAGGGACGGUCGGGGCCGCCCGUACCGGGUCGUGAGAGGUGAAAUUCUAGGAUCGACCCGAGACGAACCGCCGCGAAAGCAUUCGGCAAGGACGCUUUCAUUAAUCAAGAACGAAAGUCGGGGGAUCGAAGACGAUCAGAUACCGUCGUAGUCCCGACCGUAAACGAUGCCGACCGAGGGGCCCGGAGGAGUUACGUACGACCCUCCGGGCCCUCCCGCGAGAAAUCAGGAGUAUUCGGGUUCCGGGGGGGAGUAUGGUCGCAAGGCCGAAACUUAAAGGAAUUGACGGAAGGGC